ensembl:lncRNA
UUUCUGUCUGCCGUGGAUUUCUCUCACUCUUGUCUUUCUUGCAAAAAUUCACGAGAAUGGUUUGCAACGUUUGCAAAAUCGUAGGCGUAUCUGCUACCUGGUGUGAGACAUACAUGCGCGAUCUGCAAGGAUUCACCCUUUUAAAGCACAGAUGGAGCUGCGUCACCCCCUCGCGAUUUGAAGGCCAGACAGACACAAUCCCAUGAAGCCCACCACCGAAAGGUCAGGGGUCAACCACACAAUGUCUCGGCCCAAAGAUCAGGGUCUUUGGUGGCACGUUGGUGAUGUCCAAACAUCCAGUCUGUCAUCUGAGACUGCAGGCAAUGGAAGUCCUUGGGGCAUGCCCGGACACGGCAAAGGACACUGCGAGAUGCUUUUGGACAUGAUGAGGGUCAGAACCAAUAGGUGUGACCGGAGUGAGGCGCCCCCGUCAAACGUGAGAACUCCAAGAAUUGUUUGUCUUGAAGAAGGAGGAGCUACAUGUAACCGUGCGGCUGGUGAAACCAACUCAAACUCUUGUGUUUAGCAUUUCAGGUGGCAGAGCUAAUUAUAACUCUCUGUUGUUAGCAGGUGGGCAAUCAAACCAGUUUUGACCCCCAGUAUAUAUAUAUAUGGUCAGUAUAUUUGAUUGUAAGAGCUGAGGCUGCCCGAGUUGUGCCUCUGCACUUAAAGUUAACAUAUUAUACCACCAGGUGCGAGUAUGAUUAGCCGUUACAAGCCGUUUUGAAAAUGUGCCUCUUCUGACAUCACAAGUGGGCGUGUCCACCUAGAUGUAUGACGGAUAGAUGAGCAACGGCUUG